CAACUCCGACGAUACACCGACUGAACAUGCGGUUCCGACUCUUUAUUGACCGACUGAACAAAUCGCACCGACUUACAAUCGGUUGACCGAUUAAUAUUCGACUAGUGCCGAUCAACAGCGGACGAUUUGAACCAUCGGUAUAACUGAACUACUAGCCGACGAUCACUCAUAGAUCCUACCGACAUAUGGUCGAUUAAUCUGCUCAACAUAUCAUAAC
rnacentral:lncRNA from 1 species